rnacentral:lncRNA from 1 species
AGGCCGCAGGCGUUGGCGGGCAGCGGCACGGCCGGCAGGGUCGGGGUCCACACCAGGGCGCAGAGGACGGCCGAGGCGUGUCUGGGCCGGCAGCCCUGGUAGCAGGCGGGGAAGAGGUCGGAGAGGCAGCGCUCCACGCUGAAGGCCGCCAGCAGCCAGAGCCCCACCGCGAACCACAGGAAGCCAUCCCUCCUCCCCCAGGAUCCACAUGGGUCAUGUUCUUAGUCCUGGGAGAUGCAUCAGGACCAGGCUCAGCAGUGGCGGCGUCAGCGAACACUGGACAGUAAGAUGUUCUUGAUAAGAGAGUUUUUCCUUCCACGGACUGCGUUCCGCAGCUCCUGGGUGGGGUGCAGAGUGUGUCAGCUCAAGCCAGAAAUUCGGUCGUAAAGAUGCUGUUUCUCUUCACGUUUCUCAAAUGGACUUGGCUUCGGAAAUCACUUCUGCAACACAAACCAGCAGCCUGUGCAGCUCUGGGCGGGGGCAUGCCGGCUACCCAGCUCCCGGCAUUGUUGCACAUGGCUUUGAAACGCACGGCACAGCUCGUGUGGCCCAGGGGCACCUCCUGCCACCCUGCCUGCUGCCUCCACCCCAGAUGCCGGUCCUCGCUGCUCUCCGGGACCUCUCCCGGCGUGGCUCCACCUCCUCCUCGAGGUCACCGUCCAGGCCUGUUUCAACUAGCGCCUCCAAGCCUUGCUUACCUGCCUCCUGUUUGGGUGAAACUUGGAGCAUCUCUAUUAACUUAGUUGGUAGCUCCGGUCACCUGCAGUCACCAGGGGCCCAGAGGGACGCACAGAGGGAGACCGGCUGCCUGGGUCCCUCCUGGCUGCCUCACCAUCAGGGGCGGGAUGAGGAGCUCAGCCUCAGCCACAGUGCGCAAGGUGAAGAGUUUUGAUCCCUCGUACAUCCUCGAGCCAGGCAGGGCGCCCGGCUUCUAUCCCAGGUAGCAGAGUCUCCUAUCCCAGGUCUCCGACGGCGACCGCAACCCUUUGCCCGUGGAGGACUUCCCCUGUCUAAGGGCCAUUGGGAGUGGGAUGGCCUAAUUUCUGGGGUCGCUUUCUAUUGGGCACUUCAAACAGUGCUGGGCAAGGGCAGUCGUUUGAGGCAGCUUGGAGUGAAGUUCUUAGGGAGGAGGUCCUGCGCAGCUCGGCCAGCCCCGGUCAGGCCCAGGCAGCCACCAACCCUGGUUUCUCCAUCACCCCUGACCCCUCCCACAGCCCCUUCUCGUGUUUGCCCACCGUCUAGGCCAUGCUUCCACUUUCUCACCUGGCUGGGUAUCCCCUAUGGGGCACGGGUGUCGGCCCCGCCGAGGCUGGGCUUUGGUCUGUCUUGUUCUCUCUGGGAGGGGUCUGGUGCGGGUGGAAUACGUGGAGGGAGCCUCCGUGGGGGGAGCAACUGCUCCCGGUGUUGCAAGGAGGACAGAGCCAAUGCCCGCCCCAUCGUGUCAUGGCCGACGGUGGCCUCAGAAGAUGUGUCCACGUCCCCAGUCGCUGGAAGCUGUGCACGAGCUCUUCCUGGAGAAAAGGCCCUUGGCAGAUACAAGGAUUUUGAGAUGAGCUCGUCCUGGAGUAUCUGUGUGGGCCCUAAAUGCAAUGACAAGUGUCCCUAUACAGGAAAGGAGAGGAGGGACACUGGAGAGCAGGGGGAGGCCACGUGAGGUUGGAGGCCAGCAGGGGUUACACAGCCACAGGCCAAGGAGGGCCAGAGCCACCAGAAGCUGAAAGAGAUGAGGAAGCACCUUCCCCUGGAGCCCUCAGGGAGCGCGGCCCUGCUGCCACCUUGAUCUCAGACUUCUGUCCUCUGUAACCAAGGGAAUAAAGUCCUGCUGUGUG